GCUCUGAUCAGUGAGGAAUGAGCGGGCCUUGCUUAGUGUUCUAAGCUUAAAAGUGUUGGUAAAAGUGUGACUGUGUGAGCGAAUGAAUGAUGUAUCCAAUGUAAAGUGCUUUGAGGGUCUCUGAUAAAGCGCUAUAUGAAAUCUGAUGCAUUAUUAUUAUUAUUAUUAUUAUUAAGAUCCCUGAGGUUAAUGCCAGCAAUUUUGCUGCACAUUUUCACAAUAUCAGACAGUCUGUUCUUGUUUUUUAAGGAGAGUAGGCCGUACCAGCAAACAAAAGAGACAGUUAAAACCAGUGGCGGCUGCUGGUCUUUCAAGGAGGGGAAGCUCAUUUUUCUGGCCUACAUCAUAAUUGUAUUUGUUUAUUAGUAUGUAACAGAACAGAGUCGCCAAACACAACGGCAGUCGUUUUUAACAAAGACAGAAGUCGCUGAGGAUCGGUAAAGUCUCCGGAGCAGUUAAGAACAACGGAAUGAAUAACUUGGAAAAUGCUCUGGUAGAUGUUUUAUUCUUCAAGAUCGCUGAUUCGCUUGUUUAGCUGUCAAUCAAAAAAGGAUUUCGCCUCAGACAGCUCAUCCAAUCGUGGAUGCAGAAGCAUGGAGUCCGGGAGAAAGUCGGGACCGCCCUCUCGCCAUAGAACUCCAGUGAAGCUGGGCUUCCGAUUGGCGGGACAAAGCCCAGCAUUUAUCCAAUGAGCGUCUAGUUUCGCUGCUGGAACAACCCACUUUUAGCUUCCACAUUGAAGUCAGCAGAAGCCCAGCGUCCGGCUGUUUAAAGUGCUGAGGCGCUGCGAGGAUGAAUGAGAACGAAGUUAUGCCGGUUACCUGUAAUUAUCAGCUUCUUAUCACAGUGUCUGAACAAAAGAUGAAGGCUUUCUAGUGCGUAUUUAGUUAAUGAAAUGUACACACAGCCGUACGUAUUUCACCACUUUUUCUUUUUUUGGGGGGGUGACAUUUUAAGGGAAGCCGAGCUUCCCUUGCAGUCUCAGAGCAAUCGCCACUGGUUAAAACAGACUCAAUAAAACAGAAAUAAAACAUUUUCAUAAAAGUGCUGUCAACAUUAAAACUCUGCAGUUUCCUGGAAAAGUACAAACGUUGAUGUGCCUUCUUGCAGACAGCAUCAACAUGGAAGUCGAAGGACAGCUUAUCAUCAAUGUUUGUGCCAAGGUAUUUGUAAUUGUGGACUAAUUCCACAACUUGGCCCUCAAUGGCAAGAGGAGGGAUAGCUGAUAAAUGUUUAGGGAAAUCGAUCAGCAUUUCUUUGGUUUUGGUCACACUGAUGGUCAUAAAAGAUGCAGAGCACCAGGCAGUGAAUUCCUUUUUUUGGUUGAGGUUUGUGCGUGGAGACCGCUGUGUAUUGCUAUCAUGCAGUCGUUGCUGAAGUUGGUAUAACUAGAGAAGCAAGCAGUCUGCAACAUUCAGGGAUGUGUGUGUGUGUGUGUGUGUGUGUGUGUGUGUGUGUGUGUGUGUGUGUGUGU